rnacentral:rRNA from 1 species
AACGAACGCUGGCGGCAGGCCUAACACAUGCAAGUCGAACGCCCUAGCAAUAGGGAGUGGCAGACGGGUGAGUAACACGUGGGAACGUGCCCUUCGGUUCGGAAUAACUCAGGGAAACUUGAGCUAAUACCGGAUACGUGCGAGAGCAGAAAGGUUUAUCGCCGAAGGAUCGGCCCGCGUCCGAUUAGCUAGUUGGUGAGGUAAUGGCUCACCAAGGCGACGAUCGGUAGCUGGUCUGAGAGGAUGACCAGCCACACUGGGACUGAGACACGGCCCAGACUCCUACGGGAGGCAGCAGUGGGGAAUAUUGGACAAUGGGCGCAAGCCUGAUCCAGCCAUGCCGCGUGAGUGAUGAAGGCCCUAGGGUUGUAAAGCUCUUUCGCCAGGGACGAUAAUGACGGUACCUGGAUAAGAAGCCCCGGCUAACUUCGUGCCAGCAGCCGCCGGUAA